rnacentral:rRNA from 1 species
CGUGUAGGCGGUUUCUUCAGUCCGAUGUGAAAGCCCGGGGCUCACCCUCGGAAGUGCAUCGGAUACUGGGAGACUCGAGUACCGGAGAGGAGGGUGGAAUUCCUGGUGUAGCGGUGAAAUGCGUAGAUAUCAGGAGGAACACCGGUGGCGAAGGCGGCCCUCUGGACGGAUACUGACGCUGAGACGCGAAAGCGUGGGGAGCAAACAGGAUUAGAUACCCUGGUAGUCCACGCUGUAAACGAUGGGUACUAGGUGUUCGGGGUAUUGACCCCCUGAGUGCCGCAGCUAACGCAUUAAGUACCCCGCCUGGGGACUACGGCCGCAAGGUUAAA